ACAAAUAUGACCGUGGGACGGAGAAUAAAAAUAUAUAUAAAAUAGAUUCUCAUUUGCUCACGAUUUCUUCGCUUUUGUUCAUCAAAUUCUAGCGUGUUUCUGUUAAGGCUUGAUUGGCAAAAACUAUUGUUGAAUUUUUCAGAGCUUCCACAUGUUUAUGCUUAAAUGAAAGCAAUUGAGGGUGACUUGGUUUGGUUUUGGUUAAAUAUGAGGUGAGACUGACUUGGUGCAGAAGAUAUAUUGAUCUUUAUGACACGUCAGGAGGAUAUCGAGAAAUUGGUGCAGAAGCUGGAGGAUCGAGUUAGGAGCUUAGAAGAAGGUUCUGUAAUGGAUGCUGUGAUUUAUCCACUCCAUGGGUCGUUGCCCCCGGAGUUACAGGUGGUGGAGCUCACACAUGUAUGACAAGAGUUGAUUUACUGCACAUCUCUCAAAGCAUUGAGAAUUGAUAGAGAAAUAUAAUCAAUGCCCAAAUUUCGAGGUUUCUCCUUUGAGACUUGAUAAACAAGCUUCAAUGGACUGCCAUCUUUACAUCUGAAAUUAUGUAAUUUGGUGGCUAAAACAUUACCAAUAGAGAAAUUCAACAGAUGAUUCUUUGAAGAUGUGAUAAGGUUGUGUGCCUAAUAGAAGGAGUAGUCAAGAUAUAUAGAAACAACUUACUUUGAAAAGAGUAUCGUUUGGAUAAAGCUCUUCUAACACCCUAAUAAUAUCUGAAUCAUAUUGUGCAACACUUUCGAAUAAGCAGUACCUUCUUUUAGUUGAAGGUACUUCAAAUGCCAAGAUAUGUGCCUUGGUAACAUCCUUAACAUGUACCCAACCAAAAGUUAUGUUAUUAAAAGUUUUGGAACCUGCAUAGCAUUAAGCAAA